rnacentral:rRNA from 1 species
CCUACGGGUGGCAGCAGUGAGGAAUAUUGGACAAUGGUCGGAAGACUGAUCCAGCCAUGCCGCGUGCAGGAUGAAGGUCCUAUGGAUUGUAAACUGCUUUUGUAAGGGAAGAAUAAGGAGUACGAGUACUUUGAUGACGGUACCUUACGAAUAAGCAUCGGCUAACUCCGUGCCAGCAGCCGCGGUAAUACGGAGGAUGCGAGCGUUAUCCGGAAUCAUUGGGUUUAAAGGGUCUGUAGGCGGGCCUAUAAGUCAGAGGUGAAAGCGCUUAGCUCAACUAAGCAACUGCCUUUGAAACUGUAUGUCUUGAAUGGUUGUGAAGUAGUUGGAAUGUGUAGUGUAGCGGUGAAAUGCUUAGAUAUUACACAGAACACCGAUAGCGAAGGCAUAUUACUAACAAUUGAUUGACGCUGAUGGACGAAAGCGUGGGGAGCGAACAGGAUUAGAUACCCUGGUAGUC